rnacentral:piRNA from 1 species
UGAAUAUUUCCCGGAAUGGUCCCAUUU